UGCGGGACUGAGGUUGGGAACUACUGCAGAAGGACAUAAGCUUGAUGCCCCUGGUUUAAAUCAAGUAUCUGCAGCCCAGGUGGUGAAGAGCCACAGGAUCUUCUGGUGUUUGUUCACACCAUAGCAAGAACAGGCAGGCAGGAACUACAACUAAGAAUGAACACACAAGAGGAGAGAGAGCACUUCAUCAUUUUACUGAGGAACGGAGUUUGAACUACCACAACACACCUAAUGUAGUUUUGAAACCAGUUUCUUAAAUAGAAGUAAAAGAACCUGCGAGACCAUAAACUCUUACACUCCAGAGGAAUGUGACUUCUCUUUCCUGGAGGAGGGGUUUUACGCCUGUGAUGUUGUUGAGCAGAGGAUCAAUGAGUCGUC